GAGUUUGAUCCUGGCUCAGAUUGAACGCUGGCGGCAGGCCUAACACAUGCAAGUCGAGCGGUAACAGGAGAAGCUUGCUUCUCGCUGACGAGCGGCGGACGGGUGAGUAAUGCGUAGGAAUCUACCCUUUUGUGGGGGAUAGCCCGGAGAAAUCCGGAUUAAUACCGCAUAAGCUCUUCGGAGGAAAGUGGGGGAUCUUCGGACCUCACGCUGAAGGAUGAGCCUACGUUGGAUUAGCUAGUUGGUGGGGUAAAGGCUCACCAAGGCGACGAUCCAUAGCUGGUCUGAGAGGAUGAUCAGCCACACCGGGACUGAGACACGGCCCGGACUCCUACGGGAGGCAGCAGUGGGGAAUAUUGGACAAUGGGCGAAAGCCUGAUCCAGCCAUGCCGCGUGUGUGAAGAAGGCUCUAGGGUUGUAAAGCACUUUAAGCAGGGAAGAAACGCUGUUGGUUAAUACCCAUCAGUACUGACGGUACCUGCAGAAUAAGCACCGGCUAACUCCGUGCCAGCAGCCGCGGUAAUACGGAGGGUGCAAGCGUUAAUCGGAUUUACUGGGCGUAAAGCGUGCGUAGGCGGCUACGUAAGUC
rnacentral:rRNA from 1 species